rnacentral:lncRNA from 1 species
CUAACAUUCUAGACAUAAUUAAUUGUUACCGUUGAGAGUAAUUUCAGCAAAUUUUGCUGUAUCUUUUCCCAAGUUUACUUUAAAUGUCAAUAUUAUUUCACAGAGAUAUUAUAAAAAAUUUCCGUCCAUUUUUAUUAUGUGUUGUAAAAUAAUAUGUUUAUUACAUGUACUUUAUUAUUUUUGUAAUGGUUGUAGUGUAAAUUUAUGCAUCAAAUUAUUGCUCUUUAU